rnacentral:SRP_RNA from 1 species
GUUCGAGCCCUGUGCAACGCGCCCUGUGAACUCCGCCAGGCCCGGAAGGGAGCAACGGUAAGCAGCCAGCUCGUGUGCCGCAGGUCGCUUGAACCCC